rnacentral:lncRNA from 1 species
GUAAGUGCCAGCCUCAUACUACGGCUCCUACCCUGAAGGAGUUCACCGUCCAGUGAGAGAACGGAUAGUGAUCAGGGUACUGGUUCCCAGCGCAGAGCUUCUGUGAUUACCAGAAGAACACUGAAGGAGUCUUCUUGUCUGUCUGGAGCCAGCUGAGAUGGCCCUGAGAUCCACAGAGCCUCCUCCACGCCCCUGGAUGGAGGCGCUCCUGCUCUUCCACCCUUUGUAUCUCUCACUUGGCACCCAUUCCCGUAAUUAAUCACAAACUCCGUCUGAGCUAUUCCUUUCUAAGCCAUGCCCUCUGUACUCUGACUUGCCCCAAAUAGACAGAUGCUCAAUAAAUAUUUGCUGAUUGGCUGGAAAGCAAACAGA